rnacentral:rRNA from 1 species
AUGCGCCACCUCAAGCAUGCAGCUGGAGCUUGGGUGACUGAGUUGCCAUCUGUUCUAUGGGGAUUAAGGACGACUCCUAAUCGGUCGACUGAUCGAACUCCUUUUUUCAUGGUGUACGGGGACGAAGCUGUGCUUCCGAGCGAUCUACUGCACAAUGCUCCUCGGGUGGAACUCUUCUCUGAAGCCGAGGCAGAACAAGCACGACAGGACGCCGUCGAUCUCCUGGAGGAAGAACGAGAGAUGGCUCUGAUCUGGUCGACCAUCUAUCAGCAAGACUUGCGUCGAUUCCACGCCCGAAAUUUCAGAGGCCGAGCAUUUCAGGAAGGGGAUCUUGUGCUUCGUGUGCACCAGAAACGGCCCCAUAAACUUGCUCCAGCUUGGGAAAGUCCCUUCAUCAUCACCAAAGUGCUCCACAACAGAGCGUACCACCUUUACAAUGUGGCCAAGAAAGAAGACGAGCUGCGCUCUUGGAACGCAGAUCUGCUCCGCCGUUUUUAUACCUGA